GAUGAAGAACGCAGCAAAAUGCGAUAAGUAAUGUGAAUUGCAGAAUUCAGUGAAUCAUCGAAUCUUUGAACGCACAUUGCGCCCGCCAGUAUUCUGGCGGGCAUGCCUGUUCGAGCGUCAUUUCAACCCUCAAGCACAGCUUGGUGUUGGGACUCGCGUUAAUUCGCGCUCCUCAAAUUGAUUGGCGGUCACGUCGAGCUUCCAUAGCGUAGUAGUAAAACCCUCGUUACUGGUAAUCGUCGCGGCCACGCCGUUAAACCCCAACUUCUGAAUGUUGACCUCGGAUCAGGUAGGAAUACCCGCUGAACUUAAGCAUAUCAAUAAGCGGAGGA
rnacentral:misc_RNA from 1 species